GUUAAAACCUGAGCUUUGAGAUUUCCACUUCUACUCAUUUUCCAAUGAGCCACAUUGCCUCCAGGUGCCCAGUGAUCUGAAGGGGUCCUACAUAACCUCCAGAGAAAGGAACUUGAAGCACUUCACAAUUUGCCAUUCCUAGAGGAGGGGAGAAGAAGACCUGGAUUGGCCCCAAUUUUACCAAAGGAAGGACCGGGGGUCUUUCGAGUCGGGGACGGGGGAGAGAGGAAGGAAAAGAUCUAAGAAUGAAGAGCCCGCAGCAAAACCAGUAAAACUGGGCACAGAUACCGUCUGAGAGCAAGGAUCAAAGACACCGGCCACAAGACGGGUGUGCUGACAUGAGACUUCGGGGGUGGGC
rnacentral:lncRNA from 1 species